AAAUGUAUAGGUUAUGAACCUUAUUUUCUCUAUCUUUUUUAUAAUUCUUGGAUAUUGAGCUUUAUUAAAUUUGUCAUUCUUUACAAUAUGAAUACACCCAGAAGAAUAUUUUUCCAUCCCAAAUUUUGGUAUUAUAGAGAUAUAAGUCCUUUAAGAUUGUUUAAGUAAUCCUAAGGAUCUAUUUCUGUAAAUCUUAAUGUCGAUAAC
rnacentral:lncRNA from 1 species